UAAUAGUCACUGUUCAAAACAAUUGAUUUCUCUGAUGUACAUGUCACUCUUCAGGGAACCUGAAAUGUGCUGAUGCUUUAGGUAUGUACUUGUGUAUCUAUGCAGAAAGGGUCUGUAAUAGCUUUCUGGGACUGCCAUAGCAAAGUACCACAGACUGUCUGGCUUAAACAACAGAUAUUAAUUUUCUCACAAUCCUAGAGGCUAGAAGUCUCAGUUCAAGAUGUCAGCAGGGCUGAUUUUUCCCUAGAGGCCUCUCUCCUUGGCUUGUAGAUGGCCCUCUUUUCUCUGUGUCUUCACGUGGUCUUCUCUCUAGUCCUGUCUGUGUCCUAAUCUCUCCUUAUAAGGACGUCAGUCAUGUUGGAUUGUGGCCCACCCAUUUGACUUCAUCUUUCCUUAAUUACCUCUUGAAAGAACCCAUUUCGAAAUACAGUCACAUUCUGAGGUACUGGGGGUUAGAACUUCAACACAUGAAUUUUGGAGGGAGAUAAUUCAUGCCACAUUUUCACUUCAGUAAUGGGCAGAGAUGUCAUGUUAACUUAGAUAACUGGCACAAAUGCAAAGGAGUGAUCUGAGAUCUGAGUCACCAGCUUGCGUGUCAAGAUUGCAAAAUAAUGGAAUUCAAGGUCCAGCCUGGGGCAUUCCUUACCUUCAUGUGCCCUUUGGUUUGAGGUAUCUACUAAUCUCAGGUCCAGCAAAUGAGUACAGUAUAUUUGUUUGUAUUUCUCUUGACUCAACACAGAUAAAAAGAUUGAAAAACAGAGAUAAAAAAGUUGCAUCAGUAACAAGUCAUAUUCUUUGCAAAUGGUAGUGGAAAAGAAGACGACCUUCUGUACUUACGAAGACUGAGUAUUGUGUUUUGUUUUCACAUUAAUUGUAGAUACCAGUUUUAUAUACAAAAUAAUUCACUAAAUAACUCACGUAAAAUCAAGAGAUUUUAAAAUUUGUCAAUGUAGUCUUUUUCUCUGUUAAGCAGAAAAUCUAGAAGAGUUCUGUAGUUGGAGACAAUAGGCUAAAUCAAAGAAGGAGAAAAUAGUUAUGAUUUUUAAAACCACUGAAGCUUUAAGUGUCUGCCAGUGUUCUGGUGAUUUGGGGCUGAAAUCUGCUCUGUUCCUUACUUUCCUUUGUCAGCAGUGUUCACCAUGGCAACUUCAAUAAAACUCCCCUCACAAAUGUUUUUCUUCUAGAGUGCAAAGCACCUUUUUAAAGAAGGCUGACAACCUGGUAGGAAUGGGUGUUUGGAAAAAAUCAAAUGAAAAGUAUUCUGCUUUCUUCCCGAUUGCUGUAGGUGGCAGGAGAAUUUGGACAAGCUUUGUCCAUACAAAUUCAUGAGCCACUUGCGAAUGUGGAUGUUGUAUGGACAGCUUUAGCCAAUUACCUGAUUUAGUGAAAGCUGCUUGGGUCCAGAUCCAUUUCUUGGGACUACUUUGUGACCCAGACCUGCACUGAAAAUGCUCACUGGAACGGGGGGAGAUACUUAAAGAAAGUCAGAGAAAGGUGCCAGUCAACAUCACCAUCAGCAAGAAAUGGGCACCAGUACGUGUGCAUUGUGUGUUUGAGGGGAGAGCAUGAAAUGGAGCCUUGCAAGGAAUUGAAGAGAGGAAGAAAGGAAAAUGCUAUCUCAUCUCCAGAAAGAAAGGUAGGUGGGGAAAAGUAGAAAGUAGAUACAUUACAUAAUAUAAACAUAUGAACCUUCUUGUAGAAUUAUAUUCAUUUUGCUAUUAUUGAUCUCCAGGGAAGGAGAUGGAAUAAACUCACCAGAUAGCCUUUUACUUUAUUUCUUCUAUUAGUUCUUAUCAGAAUCGGACACAUUAAUCUUUAAGAGGCAUUUUUUAUUACUUCUAAAAGUUGUUUU